rnacentral:rRNA from 1 species
AUUCCAGCUCCAAUAGCGUAUAUUAAAGUUGUUGUGGUUAAAAAGCUCGUAGUUGGAUCUCAACAGCCUUGAAGCGGUUAACUUUGUAGUUUUACUGCUUUAUAGGCUGUGCUUUUGCUGGAGGUUUAGGGGUGCUCUUGAUCGAGUGUCUCUGGAUGCCAGCAGGUUUACUUUGAAAAAAUUAGAGUGCUCAAAGCAGGCUAAAAUGCCUGAAUAUUCGUGCAUGGAAUAAUAGAAUAGGAUGUCGAUCCUAUUUUGUUGGUUUUCGGGACUCGACAUAAUGAUUAACAGGGACAAUUGGGGGCAUUAGUAUUCAGACUACAGAGGUGAAAUUCUUGGACCGUCUGAAGACUGACUACUGCGAAAGCAUUUGCCAAGAGUGUUUUCAUCA